AAAGACCUCGUUAUUUAGGCUUGCUCUAUGGAAUAUACAGAUGUUUAAUCCCCUGUCAGUCAUCUAGAGUCCGGGAAGCAAGACGAGUGGCUAUAUCAAACUCGACAUGCCAUAUUCUGGAUUAGCUCGAUGUGUGAAUCUGACCAUGAUGUUCUAUAGCACCAACAGUAGCAGAGAUCCUUAGUAAAAUAAAUUUUGAACAUUUGCCGGAAACAAUAAUGCAGGCAAAGCCUGAUGACCGGGUUCUUGGUGUACAUAAGAUAAUAAGCAUAUGGACCUGCAAGUAUUGUAGGUACACUUUCUCUCCUCAC